UUCCUUAGUGAAGAAAUGUUCUUGCUACUGACUUUUUGUAGUUGCAUUAUUGGCAUACGGUUUGAAUCCUCCGCUAGGUUGUGCUCUGUCACCCUACUGACCUAAAACGCCACCAAAUUUUCUAGUUUUCUUCUUACUCUUAAAAUCUGGGGGAUAACCUACAAUUUGUAGCAAUUUUCCUUCAAAUAACCUUUAUAUCCACAAUGUUCACAAAUCAACCCUGUGCCUUUAGGUCUAUAUCCUUGUGCCCUCCCAACUAAC
rnacentral:lncRNA from 1 species